ACACGGUAACAAAUGGAAGAAAAUAGCAGCUGAAGUACCAGGUCGAACUGCUAAAAGAUUAGGAAAGUGGUGGGAAGUUUUCAAAGAGAAGCAACAGAGAGAGCAGAAAGAAAACAACAAGGUUGUUGAUCCAGUAGACGAGGGAAAAUACGAUCACAUUCUCGAAACCUUUGCAGAAAAGAUUGUGAAAGAAAGGAGUGUCCCAGGUUUACUUAUGGCUACUUCUAAUGGAGGUUUCCUCCACGCCGAUGCCUCAACUCCUACGCCACAAACUCUUCUUCCUCCGUGGCUUUCUAAUUCUUCUGCACCUUCAACUGUUAGAUCAUCAUCUCCAUCUGUGACUUUAAGUCUCUCCCCCUCUACUGUGCCGCCUACACCUACACCUGGCAUUCCGUGGCUACAGACAGAUAGAGGACCUGAUAAUGCGCCUCUCAUCUUGAGCAGUUUUCCACAUCAUAGUGUUGCUCCUUGUGGAGAAAAUCCUUUUAUUACUGAACUUGCGGAAUGCUGCAAGGAUUUAGACGAAGGGCAUCGUACUUGGACUGCACAUAAGAAGGAAGCAGCUUGGAGGUUAAGGAGGGUUGAAUUGCAACUAGAAUCUGAAAAAGCAAGCAAAGUUAGGGAGAAAAUGGAGGAAAUUGAAGCAAAAAUGAAAGCGCUGAGGGAAGAACAGAAAGCAACUCUAGACAGAAUUGAAGCAGAAUACAAGGAGCAACUAGCAGGCUUGAGGAGGGAUGCAGAAGCAAAAGAGCAGAAAUUGGCAGAGCAAUGGACAUCCAAACACAUGCGCCUUGCUAAGUUUCUUGAGCAGAUGGGAUGCCAAUCAAGACUUGCUGAACCUAAUGGCGGCCGCUAAAGCAAAGCUUGCAAGCUAAGCCAAGAAUUCUUUUGUGUUUCCUUGCUCCUUUAGACGGUUCUUUCUACUUGCCGCGACUUUUCUUACUGUCAACUUUUUGUUUGAUCAUCUUCUAUUUGGUUUUCUAUGUUUUCCUCUAUGCAUGAUAUGAUAAUUUUAUAAUAGCCUGCAACUUGUAUUUUUGUUAUCUGCAAAGGA
rnacentral:misc_RNA from 1 species